rnacentral:lncRNA from 1 species
GCCAAUGAGGAAGGGGCACUUGAUGCAUUUGUUUCGAUUGUAACAGGCCCACCAGGGCCGAACCCAGUUCAAUUGAUGCCAUCAAUCUCUAUACCUGUACUAGUUUUAUGGGGUGAUGAGGAUCCAUUCACACCCCUCGAUGGACCUGUUGGUAAAUACUUCUCAUCUCUGCCCUUUAAACUCUCAAAUGUGAAGCUAAUUGUAUUGGAAGGAGUAGGACAUUGCCCCCAUGACGACAGGCCUGAGUUGGUCCAUGAAAAGCUGCUUCCUUGGUUGGCUGAAACAUUUAAUUUCUGAGGAAUUUACUUUCUCAUCAGCAAGUUUUAACGAGCAUUAUAUAUUAUUCCUAUUGUAAAAAGACAAAACAACUCUUGUAUUUAUGUUGUAUAUAUCAAUUCUUAUUCAACCGCUUGGUUAUCUUUUGGCGCCGAAAGGAAUGUUGGAGAAACUGAUCUCUGACAAGUUGUAGAAGCUCCAAAUUGAUUCAAGAAAUAUAUCAAAUUAUUCAAUAAAAAAUCAAAUUCAGCACAAUAAUAAAGAAUAAUGAUUUAGUAAUCCAUAUUGCUCAUGUCAAUGAUAUGUGAAUGAUAGGAUCCAAUUUUAUACAUGAAAUCGAAAUAUAAUUCACAGUUAUCUUCAAUCCUUUCCUUACAAGUCAUUUUUGUAAAUAUAAAUUCUAACCAUAGACGAUACCACAUAAACUAUGGAAUCAAAUGCACCAUUCCAAAUAUGGAAUUGGCAGAGAUACUUGAAAAAGUGCAUACAUGUUUAAGCAAAUGGAUUCACAACUCAGGUGAGUUCAGUGAAAAUGACACCUAUCUCAGUCUUCUUCGUUACAGUUGAAACAUGUGCUUGGAUCUUCUAUUGAAUUCUUAGAAUUUAGGAAGCGAAUUAAAUGGAUCCCACAUUUUUUCACCCCGCAGCACUGGCACUCCAAAGGUGGAAAAACAUUAAAGUGGACUGCCUCAGGAAUGCAAUUGCAUUUCCAAAAACCAUUAAAAUCCUCUUCACAUAACAGAUAGUACCCCAAAUGUAAGUGAUAUGAUUCUACAUAAUUAACUCUGCUCAGAGAUAAUCGUGUGUCAUGCGUACCACAAUCUUUGGUGGUUUUCACUUUGAGCUCACAAGAAAAUGAAAACCAUCUGCCACAAUCUACGUGACGGUCUGAAAAUGCUAAAAUAGCACUAAAUGCAAUGCCCUGCACUCGGCUAUUAUUGAAGAAAUCUGCCGGCAUCUCCAAGGUUAUAAAAGAUCCCACACUUUGAAACUCAAACCACUUUGGAAUUUCAUUCCUAGGUAGUACUAUAAGACCUUUGCCCAUGGAAAAACCUCUCUGUACCAAAAAAACAUAAUUUUAAACCCAAAAAAAAAAUUGUAGAAAUUGUAAGUAGAGAGAGUUAAAGACACACAUUUAGCCAUAAUUCUUGCCAUAUUUCUUGCCGACGUACAACUUGCGUAUGGUUCGUAUGCUGAAUUCUCAGGGUAUCUUCAACAAUUCCUGCAGUAGAAUUACCUUCCAAUUUAAAUUUAUUGCUCCGGUAAAAAAAAAUUGCCUAUAAGAUUCAUGACUUAGAGAACAAACCUAAAAGUGGUUGCAGUGCCAAGCAACCUCGUUCAAGGAAUGAAGGCUUUUGUACAGAUUGGAACCUCUCACCAUAACCUAAGAGGAGGUAUCCCGACACGAAAAGUUGGAUAAUGCUUUCUGGUAUUCUCUCAAUAUUGGUUUUCGCUAGAUUCAAUAUUAUUGGCGAGGAUAAUUGGCCAAGACAUUCGGGCAAUCUCUGAAGAUUUGAGCAACCACAGAGACUAAGAACUCCGAGAGAUUUCAACUUACAGAGGCUGCUUGGGAGAUUCUUAAGCCUUUUACAAUCUGAAAGGUCCAAGUAUUCGAGCCUAAGUAGACUCUCAAUUGAUGAGGGCAAUUCUUCAAUUGCAGUCCCCAUUAAAAAUAACCAGCUUAUAUUACCUGAUGAGAUCUCUGGAAGCCUUUUCAGUUUUGAGCAGCCCGAUAGAUCAAGUUUGGUAAGGAAUUCCAAGUUAAAUAUUCCAGAUGGAAGACUUUUCAGGCUUUUGCUACCUCUUAGAUUCAAGAUAACUACCUUGUUCAAACGUGGCAUCAACGUGGGAUUUGGAAUUUUGGCAAUUAGCUUAUGGCAGGCAGCAUGGAUUAUCUGAUUUAACUUACUAUAAUGCUGCUCGGUCAAAAAAGAGGUCAAGACAAAAUCGUUACCACGUAUAAUAAUUUAAGGUUGUUAUUGAAAGAUUGCACAUAUAUGAUAAGAUAUGCAUACCUUCACACAAUCCCAAAGUUGUUCAAUGUCAUUAUCAGGCACUUCAAGUAACACAAGCUUCUCUGCACUAAGGUUUGAGGGUAAUGAGUUCAACGGAUAUCCAUGCCAGUGAAGAUAUUUCACUUCAGCAAAUCCAGGGUCUUGCAAAUAGGACAUCUUACAUUUGUUCUCUCCAUUGAAUGAUUAACUAUAGAACUUUAAAAAUCUCAAUUUAAGCAUCUUUGUGAAAGUAUUGGGAUUUAGACGGAACUCUUUUACUUUUGACAUAUCCAAAGAGAUGCCCUCAAUUUUUUCUGUCCCCUAAAAAUAAAUAAAAAAGCAAUGAAGUUAAAAUCAAAUGAAAGAUAUGUGUAUUCCACCAAUGAAUCGCACUUCAACCCCACCAAGUCAAAUUUUUGGGGCAAUUUUCUCACUAAUUCACAAUUAGAGGUAGCUUAUAGUUAUUGCUAGGCAGUUAAACUUUUAAUUGCAAAUGCACGAAGAACAUAAUAACACAAGUAAUACUUAAUAUAAAAAUUCCGUCUGUGUACUAUACAAAUUGGCAUAUCAAUUAUGCUUGCAAACGAUUAUGCAAGUUGUCAUGGCAUUUAUAAUUUAUUGCUACGUCAUCUAACCGCUAUGGUUUUUUCUAAUCAUUGUUGCUCUUCUAUUAAUUCUAAGACUCAUCAGUUCGAGCAUAUAUAAAUAUAUUCAUAUCAAGUUUGUAAAUGCUAGAAUAUUUCAAAAUAAUUAUCCACAACAAACUGCUUACCGUGUUAUAUGUAAGAACUUCAUAGAUAUCCUCAUGAUGCCACAACCUACUGCGGUUUCCAGGAUUAAUUGAUUCUUGUCGAACAAUUUCCCUACCCAGCUCUUGUAGUAAAUCAUGCAUUGUUAUCUUGUUGUAUGAACCAAUAGCAAUGAGAGAUUUAUCAACAAGAACACUUAUUCCUAUUUCUGGGUAGAAACCGCUUGCAUUAAGGAAUUUCAUUACUAGAUUUACAUCCUCGCCUGGAAAGAAACAAGCAACAUCAAGGAAAAUACUUUUCUCCUCAUCGUCCAAACUAUCGUAACUUAUUUUUAAUACCUCUAGGAUACUUGGAUGGAGGAUUCUUUGCAAUUUAUUUAUUGCACUUUCCCAGACUUCCUUUUCUCUUUCAUAUAGAAAGCAACCCAACACUUUAAGAGCUAAAGGAACACCUUGAGCAUAUUUCAUUACCUUGCUUGAAAAUUUCUCGUAACCAACGUCAGGACGGUUUUGUUUGAAGGCACGUCGACUGAAAAGUUCAAGAGCGUGAUGAUAUUCUAACGCCUCCAUCUCAUAUAUUUUCCUCACCCCCCAAUUUCUAAGCACUUGUUUAUUUCUGGUGGUUAUUAUGAUUCGACUGACAGGCGUCAACGAAUCAAGACUUCCAAUUAUAGAUUCUAAUUGGCUGAAGCAAGUCACAUUAUCAAAAACAAUCAGAACCUUCAUGCGGCUGAGCCUUCUAAAAUUGAGACCAAUAUCAAGACUCACAUUUUUAUCUUUCAAUAAAUUUGAAAGAAGUUUUUGUCGCAAGCAAGCUAAUCCUCCCGGUUUUUUUUUACUCUUCUCUAACAUUUUCAAGGAAGCAGGAACCUUCAAAAUCGCUAGAGAUUUUGUCGAAAGUAGCUCUAGCGAUUGUUGUUUUGCCUAUACCACCAAUGCCCCAAGUCCCUAAAGCGUAAACAUCUUUCGACUGAGCACCUAGUAGAGAUUCAAUUUCCUCAACUCUUGAUUCUACUCCAACCAGCUGGUUUUUGUUAUCAUUCCGCCGAAAAACUUGAUCCAGCAGUCUCUUUAGAAUGUGAUUAACAACUUCGUUUAUAAGUUCCGAUUCAGGCCUACCAAAUACAUAAAAUUAGCAGCAGUAACUUCAAAUAGAAGGGAUUUGCAUAAAAUAUGAAAUAAAGGAGAUUGCUAGUUUUCCAAUUGAAAUUAAUAUACCACUUUUUUUUUUCAUAAGGAUAAUAUUGCAAAGUGAUGGUAUCAGGAGAGUUAUUAAAUAUUAUAAAAAUAGUCAAAAUAAGUGGUAUAUAUUGAUUUGAGUAAGGAAAUUUCCAAUCUCCCUAUAAAUUAAUAACUCUUUAAUUACAGGAAUAUGUUAUAUGUGGAAGAGAUUUUUUUUUCCUAGUGGUAUAUGAGUAAGAGAUUGAAAUUGAUUAAAAAACGACAGAACACCAUUAAUUUUGUUAAAAUAUAUUGUAAACCUCUGCAGCUUUUAUUAUUAAUUCUGCAAAAAAUCUUUUAUAGGAUUUCAAAAGUGGGGAAGUUCAAGAAGUCUAGAAUUUGAUGCAUGAAAAAAUUUAAAAGUGUAGUUUAUCGUCUGGAAAAUUUAACUAAGAGUGCUGCGUGAAUUUUAUUUACAGUGUUGAAUAUUAGUAUGAGAAAUUAAAAGUAACUUUUCACCUGAUGUUAAGAGAAUGACAGCCAGACAAAGUGGCUGCCUCCUUCAAAGCAUUCCUCCAAGUCAGCAGCUUCUUUGAAUUCUCCUUAAAUCUUUCUUCAAGCUUUGAAAAUGAAUCCCCAAAACUCCCAGAUAAAAAAGGAGGCUAGUAGUUUUCACAAGCAAAAAGUAAAGAAUCAAUUUUAUUUUUUUUCUGCCUAUGGAUUCAUUGUUUUAGUUACAUCAAGACCUAGCAUCAACGGCUAUCAAUUUCUUCACAAGACAUUACAAAAGUUGUUAUAACAACCUGACACUGCAGUUUGUCUUCUUGUCUUCAGUUGCUCAGUCUUGUCUUUAGCAAGCUGUGAUAUCUUGCUCUUUCAGCUUGAUUACCAUCCAACGACUGAUAUUCAAACAUCAGAUGGCUUGCUUAAUUCAAGAGAUUCAUGAGUUCCCGCCAAUGCCUUCAUUGAGGUAUAUUAUCAAACAAUUGUGCAGCAACCUCAGACACAUUUAUUUUAACUCUCCCAGUUUGGUUUCUCACGUCUGAUGAAUUAAUCCGAUAGAAAACCGGAAUCACGAUCUGUGCAUACUCUUUCUUGCACUCGAGGAUCUUGACAAGUUCAUCGAGACACCAUCUGGAAGAUGCAUACCCUUCUGAGAAGACGAUAACUGAAACGGCUGAUGCUUCAAUUGCAUUCACAAGUGACUCCGAAAUUUCGUCUCCUCUGUUAAGUUGGUCAUCAAUGAAAGUUUGGAUAUUUUGUCGACACAGAGCAGAAUAGAGAUGGCUAGUAAAGUUGUCUCGGGUGUCCUCUCCUCUGAAACUAAGAAAAAGAUCAUGCUUCUUGUUGUUUCCAUAAGAAGAAGCCAUAAUCAACAGAAACAGUUGAAUUGAUUAGGGAGAGAUUUUGAUUCAGAUGAAAACAAUUAUUGAACCAAAUGUGCGCGACUCUGUACAAUAAAUCGAUGCCAUGAGCCUUCCUUCAAGUUCCGUGAUAGUUUUCAAUUUCAUCUCAUUGUCCAAGCACCGUGCACUCCACGAUGAUUGAUUAAUUCCACUGCUUUGUAGACUUUUAGCUGAAAAUUCCACACGAACACCAUACUUUUCAACACACGUGCUUCUGUGCUUUAAUACUCAUAACUGCCAGCAAUAAGUAGGGUAAUAUUUUAAUUUUUAUCUCUGAAUUUAUCUUUUCGGUCCUCAUCUCUCAAUUAAUUGUAUUUAGUUUCCAAAUUGUUCUUUUUUUUUUUGUUUUAGUAGCUCUUAUUCAUGUUCCUUAGGGUUGAUUGUUAAGCAUAUAAAGUCUAACUUUUAAAAAAAAAUUAGUUAUUUAUUUUUUAUAACUUAUAUAUGAUUUUUAAAUAUUUAUAUUUAAAUUAAAAAAGUAAUUUUUUUUUGUGACCUUUGCCUAAAUGAAAAAUGUAUGAAUGGAAAAUAAAUAGUAUAUUCGAAGAUUAUUUCUAUUCAAUAUUGUUAUUUCCUAAACUAUAAACGGGUCACAUGUGGCUAAUUGUCAAAGCAAUAGCAAGCUGUUAGCUUAAAGCAAAGCACAUUCAUGCUUCACCCAUGAGAAUACAACCAAUUCUAAUGCAUGUAUUGUGACGCACGUGCAAGCUAAAAGGAGGCGCAUGUGGUUACUUGUCAAAGCAAUAGCAAGCUGUUAGCUUAAAGCAAAGCACGUGCGUGCUUCAUCAAUAGAAUAUGUGAGUGGAUUAUUAUUAAUUAUGUAUUUAACAAAACAUUUAUGUUUGAUAAUAUGAUUUAGUAUAAUGUUAUGAUUAAAUGUACGUACAUUAUAUGAUUGAUUGAGUCAUGAGAUGUAAUUGACAGGCACCAUAUGUGUACAUUUCUCCAUAGGCUCUACGCAUGCGUAUUGAGAGUUAAAUUACUCGACCCUUGUGAUGUUGUUAAUUCUACUGAGUAUUGAGAGGUUUUUCCCCCUUUUUAAUCGUGCAAUGAUGAUCCCAGUGAGUAUUGAGAGUUAUUUUCCCUGUAUAUUAUUUGGUGCAAUUUUGUCAUGUGUGUAUAUACGAGUUCAUGUUUGCUUUUGUAAAGCGUUCAGUGUAAAGUUAUGUCAUACAAUUAUGACGAGCACUAAAGCACUAAUUUAUUUUUAUAUAUAAUUAUAUUCAUUCAUUGAGCCGCAAGCUUACUAUUUUCCUAUUUACCCCAUUUCUCUAAGGUUUCCAUAGGAUUUCGUGUAGUUCAAUUUCUGAUCAAUUGAGGUUGGGCCACGACACACAUUACUGCACGACUUACAUUUUGACCACGUUUAUGUUUAUAUGUAUAUUUUUGAAGUGUAUGUAUGUAUAGUGAGAUAUGAACUAUGUAAGUUUUUAAUAAAUUUUUGAAUGAGGCGCAUAGAUUAUUAUAUGUUUAUAACAAAGGGUAAGGCUAGUGUUAUAUAUUCAUGAAUUAAGUUUAUGUCAUGAGCUUUAGAUAUAAAAUUGCAUGAUUCACCCCAAAUCCAACAUAAGGGUUGAGGCAGUUUGUGUCAUGUAUGAUAUGUACAUAUUUAUAUUCAAUAUAACCACCAUUUGAAUGAUAGUUUUUUAAAAUCAAUGCACAUGUGUCGUAGCAUGAUUUACUUGUUGUAUGGCUAACAUGGUACUUCUGAUGUAUUCUAAAAUUUCUUCUUUAGUUAUUAAAAUUUUAUUUAAAAGAAGGUCAUUUUAAAUUUCAAAAUGUAAAGUGUAUUUUCUACAACACUAAAGGAUGAAAUAGCCUUCAAUAUAGAUUUCUUAAUAAAUUUUAAGAGAACUACCAGAAAGUGGUUAUCUCAUUCAUGGUUAUUAAAUCAAAAUUUGAAUUAGAUCAUCACUGGUCCAAAUAAACUAUCGUCAUUUCAAAUUGAAGCAUGAAACCGUGAAUGGAUGCAUCUUUAAAUAAAAAGAUACAUUUUUAUUACAUAUGACACUGUUUAAUUAGACAUAUCUUUACAGUCGGACACAUUUUUACAUCACCAUUUAUAUUAAAAAUAUUCCAUCAUAAAAUAUGUCCCUCUCCUUAUACGAGUAUUUUGCAAAUAAUUUGCAAAUAAUACGGAGCCACCACGAGUUAAUAAAACAAUAACAUUGCUCACUUGCUGGACUAGGCUGGAUUGGGCUGGGCCUGCCAUAAGAAUGUCUUACUAGUACGAAGCUUUGCUUUCAUCAUCGCACACACGGUGAGGGAAAUUGACAUUGAUGAGGGCGUUGGCCGCUCAAUUCCUACUUCGGAUUCCCCAACUCGGAAGGAAAAAUAUAAACUUUCCGUCGUACAAGCAUCGCGGGAAUUAUCAGCCAUUGUUCUUGUCUUGCAAUUACAGCACCAAUGACAAUUGUUCUUCAUCAUCAUCUUCUUCUUCUUCUUCGAAGAAUUACUUAGAAUUGACCGACGAUGAGCGAAAUGGACGCGUACAAAUCGUCGGGACCAGGCGGUCAGCACCGCAAUAAGCGCGAAUCCGCCGUACGUCUCAAGCACGUACCUACCGGCGUCAUAUCGCAUGCCGCCGAAGACCGAUCGCAGCACAAGAAUCGCGCGUCAGCUUUGUAGCGCCUCCGCACUCUUUUGGCCCUCAAUGUGAGGAGCAGUGUGAAUCUUGAUGCGUAUUCGCCGCCGCCACAGCUUCUUCAAAUCCCUCCUCCUAAGUCUAAUAUUAGAAGUUCUGAAGUUGGUCCACAAAUUGGACCUAACAAUCCUAAAUUUGCUUUGGUAUUACUCUAUUCACUCUUGCUUUGUUUUUUUGUUUUCUGUUAAAAUUUAAGUCAUCGUAAUGUUUUUUUUUUUUUUUUUGGUUAACUUCAGGGAAUGCAAGCUCUGCUUGAUCUAAUUUUCGCAGGUUAAGCACUUGGCCGUGAAUGAGUUCAGGACUUCUAAAGGUAUGCUAAUUCAUAGCUGAUAGUGUGUAUUACGAUAAGACUCAACCUGUUGGUUAAUUUAAAAUUGUUAUCUUCUUUCUUAUUUGUGAAACAAAUAUAAUAAGUCUGUUUUUUGUUGUUGAGUGUCUGCGUCAGUGCUUGAUGGCUUAUUUUUAAGUAGCUUUAAAGCAUAUUUGGCUCUUUGUUUAUGAAUAAUGUUCAAUAGCAACCUGCUCCAUUGAUAAGAGAAAUGUAUGAUAUAAUUUUUCAAGAUACCAACCUGCAUUAUGAAUUGUUAUUGGAAGGAAGUACGAGAAUAAAUUAAGAGCAAAGACUGAUUAAAAGAUGUAUCUUCAUUAUGACUUGAAAUGUAUGUUCCGCUUCUCAUUCACUUUACCAGAAUUACAAAAGUUUUAUGUUAUUGAUGGUUGGAUUGUUUCUGGGUUAUCCUUGUUUUUUUUUUGUUUUAAUUGCUUUACAUACAUUAUGUGUGUAAUUUUUUAAUGGACAAUCUUCAUUUGAAACAUGAAAAUUUUAAAAAACUUUCUGAUUUGUGCAGGGUAUGAAGCCUCUUAAGUAGGACUUCUUGGGUGCUACUAUUGUGUUCGGCAAAUAUAUAUUUUUUUUCUUUUUUCAGUCACCAUAAUGGGGGUCAUGGUGAAACAACUUACUAAUCACUCUGGACAGGAAUGGGCUUCUAUAAGUAAAGCACACUUAUUUCACUCUUUCCUUAGUAUGGAGCUGCUUACCGUUGGGAUGAAGAUGGUAAUAGCAGCUUUAGAAAUUAGUUUUCUUCAGUAGGAAAAUUUCUAAAUCUUGGAAAAUUUAAAGUUGUACUAGAAAACAAGCUGCCUAUUCAACCAAUGGCUAAAUGUAGCAUAGUAGUCUCCUUAGACGAUUAAUUAGAUUGCAUUCCUUUUGAUCUCUCUCUUUUCAUUUUUUCUCCUUUUUGACUUGCACUUCUCUAUUCCUUUCCUCAAAAAAAAAAAAAAAACAUUUGCACUUCUCUGCUGAUGUCUUCCCAAUAUCCUAUGAUGUACAAAUGCACAAAUACUCUUGUUGUGACGUUAACCAUAUAUGGUUUCUUUUUUAUUUUGGUCCAUUUUCCAACAACAUAGAAUAGUAAGAAGAAUACUUUAUUUUAAUGAUGCUUCUCUGCUUUCUUAAAUGUAUGCUUGUUCUUGUUCACAUUUUACUGUUCAUCAUAAUUGGUAUGGUCUUUUUUUGGCAUCAUCAAGCCCCAAAUGUGAUGAAACAUUUUGAAUUUCUUAUUGAUCCAGCCUUCACUUUAGUAUAAUGUAUACACCGUACCUGCGCUGCAGUAAGUAUCAUUGAUAGUUCUGAAUGAGUGUGAAAGCAGACUAGUGUGUAACUUCAUGAUUUAUUUACUGGUUUGCACAUCCAUAUUUCAAAUGAUUUACUGGUCUCUGGCCUAAAGAGAGGGAAAUUGAAAGACUUGUGAGACAAUCCUCAUGGCUUUGUUGACAUCAAUUUGGUGGUUGAUUGAGAAAUGAAUGAUCAUACAUAUACAUAUACAUAUACAUAUACAUACAUAUAUAUAUAUAUAUAUAUAUAUAUAUGAUUUUCAUGGACUAGUAUUUGACAGAUGACUUGAUUAUUAUUUUUUGUCUGUCUGUUUAUUGGUUCUGUUGCUCAGUCAUAGCUAGACAUUGCUCGUUGACCAUUUGUUAGUGACAGGCUCAAAUGAGAUGCUUGAACUUUUGCUUUUAUCUCUUGUACUUACUUGCUUGGAUUUAGUUUGGAAAAGCAAAUCAACUAAGAUUUAGUUAGGUGAGCUAUGCAGCAAGUUGGGAUCUGACCCAAGUCAUAAUCCAAGUUGAGCAGAAUAUCCACAAAAUCGAUCAUCUCAUCCAUGAAACAAAAGCAAUUGUGAGAGCCAGCAUUGGGGAAUCGUUUACUAGACAUGAGUUUUGAUAUUUGAUAUUAUGAAAGUCUUUUAUUUGACAUGUAAAGGUAGGGAUUUACUUUGUUUAACCCCUAUUCGUGCUAUAGGUUGACAGUAAUCUAUCACUUAAAUGCACUUUUUCCAAUCAGCCAAUGGCAAGCAAAUUUCUAGAAUGAAAAUGAGGCAUAAGUUAAAUGCUUUCUUGAAAUGUGGUGAAAUCAUUUGUUUAUGGUAUUACUUGUCGUGGCAGAAGCAUCCUCCUAAAAUUAUUUAUAAGAAACUCUUUUUACUCUCUAUGCCAGUGGAGUGGGCCUUCAAAAGGAAAGGAAAAGUUGUGCCUAAAGUUGUGAAAAGGAAGAAUUUGCAAGUAAAAAAUGAAUAUAUUAUGCAUGGCUACAUAAAUUGGUACAUAUAGCUUUUGCACCUAAUCUGAUUAUCUCGAUUCCUGGACCCAUAACUAAUAUAGCCUAAUUAUUACACAUGAUAUUUUGCUGCUGCCAUACUACUUACAUGCGAGUGCUGAUUUUUAAACAGAAAUAUUCAACAGAGCACUGACAGAAACAGAGUUAACACCCGAGCCGGGUUACCUUGUUAAUUGAAAACAAUUAAUUAACAGGACAAAAACACGAUAAAUCUGGUGGUUUUGUAGUUAAUUCUGCCUGCCCUCUGUCAGUUUCUUUAGUAUUUUUCCUCGUAUAUUUGACUUAUUGACCUAUCUGUGGCUGGAAAGAAAAAUGAUUUAAGUCAACUGUCGAAAAUGUUUUAUCAUUAUUUUAUUUCUGAAUAUCAGCAGUGCAUCAUUUUGAAAAUGUAACUGUGGGGUUUCAGGAUCCUCUUGAGCCAGUUUUGUUGUUCACAAAACCCCUUGUGCCAGAAAAAUUGGACGCUGCAGGUAUUGUUCCGCCGUCAGAUUCUUCUACGAGGAAUGGCACUAUAGCACGAACUCACAAAUUUCAUGGAAGAAUUGGCCGAGGGGGCGGAUAGUAUUUGAUAGAUGUAAUCCUCUUAUGCACUCCUCAACUGAUAGUGGCACGUCUUUUUACUUACCACCAAAACCCCGCACAUCUAUGUACAGUUAAAUUGAAUACUCGUAUUGUCCGAGCUCCAGCAUUAUUCGUUAGGGAGCCAAGUGUAAUUAUGCUCCGGCUGAUAUUUAUGUAGUUAAAUUGAAUACUUCCAUUGUCCCAGCUCCAGCAAUUAUUUGUUUGGGAAGUCAAGUGUAAUUAUGCCGAGGGCAAGCAAAAUACUGGGCUUGAUGAAUCUUUUGAGGCUUGGUCACAGGUAUUUCAUGCCGUGCAUCAUCUUGCCUUAUUCUUUUUAAAGAAAUGACCUUGCCCUAAUUUUCCUUUCAAGUUUAAACUUAAUGAGCUUUUAUUACAUCCUUUAUUGUUGACAUGCUUGUGCUAAUCAUAGUAUUUUCAAAAUUUUCGGCCCAGUUGAUUAUAAAUUUUGUGUGAAUGUUACAAGAUAAAACUUACCUUUAAAAUGUUAACGAACCUGUAGGAUUGGACUUCUCUUUAAGACCUUGAAUUAAGUGGAGGGUGUUUCGGGGUUAAUAAACCAGGAACUAUGCAUAUACUUGGCCAAUGAGGAAUCCUACUAGUGCAGAAUAAGGUUGCACAAGACAGUUAAAUAGAUGACGCAAUGGAGACGUCUCUGUAUCGACUCAAUUCAAACUAAUUGUACAACUUCAUUUCUGAAGGAGUCACCAUUUUUUUUUCCCAUUAAUCCCAUUUGGAGAAUGUGUACGUCAGGUGUUAAUGCUUAUAAUGAAAAUGAUGCACUAUGUUUGGUGUUUUUCAAUUUAAAAAUGUGUCUAAUAGUGUAUUUUCAGAAUUGGACUAUAAAAAUAGAAAUAGAGAAAACGAUAUAAAAUUAAGGUAAUAUAGGACAAAAAAGUAUGGACAAGGAAGCAGUAAUAUUUGGCGUUUUUCAUUUUUUCAAUAAAAAAAUGAAAACAAAAUUUUCAAUAUCUAUUCAUCAUUUUUUGGGGAAAAAAAAAAGAAGCUUAAAGAAUAAAUGAAAGGGUGUUUUAAAACAAAAUUGUGAUUGGUGUUUGAAUAAUGACCCUCUCGGUUAGGCAAAACAGUCACAUAAUCAUUUUUUUUAAAACACAAACAUUUUGGUUCAGAAAUAAUCACACAAAUCCCAAUCUUUUAGCUAAAAAAGAGUCUGUGUAUCUCGAAAGAGACAUGUGUGACAUUUUCUAAAAACAAAAUAUAUUUAUAGUUAUUUUGCCAAAUCACGUGGUGCCUUUAGAAAUAGGAUAGAUUUUAAUUUGCCCCCAAUUUAAAAUGAAAAUCUUUAAUUUAUCACCUAAAAGUAUAAAAAUAUCAAGUUACCCCAUUUAUUGUUAAGAAGAUUAAAACAAAAAAACCAUCAACACAUUCCUUAUUUGCCCCUCAUCUUUUGGACGGAAAUGAAGAAUAAAUUGAGGUUUACAUUGAGAGCAAAUUAGAGAUUAUCAUUUUAUUUAGGAAUGAAUUAAACUUUAUCCUUAGAAAUAAAAAAUUCAAGAGAAGUACAUCAAAAAAGGUAAUAUAGUUUUCACUUUUUAUGGAGUAUUUGGGUAAGGGUAUUUGCACGCCACUAUUUUUGUAAAUCCACCCUACUUCUAGAAACUAAUUGCAAUGAAUUCACAAUAUUUUUUUUAAAAAUACAAAUUAAUAAAAAUUUUGUAUAGUUAAUCAGUUAAAUCCUUCUAUUAAUUUUUUUCUUAGGUUUUUUGACCAUUUUUAAUCAUAAAACUUUAAUACAAGUUUUGUUUUAGUAUUUUAUUAUUAUGAUAUAUAGCGACUAAAUUACCAUAAUAAACAUGAGUUAUUAUAUCUAAUAAUUUAUGUAUCUAGCUUAUAAUCUAAUAUUUUUAAAUAAAAUUUAAUUGUUAUUUUCUCUACUUUUAUGUGUAAAUUACAUAAAAUUGACAUCCCAAUAAUUUACACGAGUAUCAUGCCCUAAAGAUACUAUUUUAGUUUAAUUAAAGAUUAAAACUCAUACUAAUAAAAUAGUAUUAGAAACAAUGAGUUUGGUACAAAAUUAGAAAAAUAUUAAAGUUAAAGUAAAUUCUUAAUAGUUUUACCUUGUAAGGGUAAAAUAAUCAAUUUAAAUUUAUGACAAAGCAAUCUUUGUAACCAAAUAUAAUAAAAUAAUCUAAAUCAGGAGAAAGUAAACUAAAAUAAAUUUAGUUAAUUACUUCUACAAAGUUCUUCUUUGUUUGAAAAUUUUUAAGCAUAGCAUGUAUGUUUUAUAAUUAUUUUUUAAAAAAUGGGACGAGUUUGCAAAAAUUAUUGGACGGAAAUACCAAUCACCCGGAGUAUUUUAGUAAAGCACCUGAUAUUCGUUUCAGACGAAGUAUUAUCAUUUUGAUUUUUGAGGAAUAUCAGUAAAAUUUUCAUAUAAUAGUGGAAUAAGCCCAAUAAAUAAUUAUAUAAAAAGUUUUAGUAGUCUCAUAGAGGUGGAAGCAGGGAAGGAGCAGGCCAAGCCAGGCCACAGAAAAUAUUCAAUUGAAAAAGCAAGAAAAGAAUGAGCGUGUGGAUGGUAAGGGCUCGGACUCCCUCUUUCAUUAUUCCAAUAACAACACUCAGGAUUGGAAAUGGAAAUGGAGAUGUAAAAGGCCUGCGCUUGCCCCUAUUGAGCAAUAAGAGUUGGCAGUUUCAGUUGCAGUUGCAGCAGAGGAAUAAGGAGAAGAAGAAGAGACAAAAUGUUACCAUCAGUUAUACUAACAGUAGCAGUGGAGGGGAUUCUGCUUCUGCUGCACUGGAACUGGAGGUUAAUGAGAUAAGGGAGAGUUGCAAAAUGUGGAAAUGGAAGGGUGAGUACUCCAUCAAUUACUUGGUUUCUUCAACUCCAAAUUCACAUCCCAAUUCUCCUCCUCUACUCCUUGUCCAUGGCUUUGGUGCCUCCAUUCCUCACUGGCGCAGGUUAGCGAGAUAAGAUUGCUCUUUCUUGUUGUGAAUUGUGUAGUGGGUUGAUUAUUGGGUGCAUAAAAAUGUAGCUCCUUUAUUGUGAAUUCAGUUCAAAUUAUGUUCUGGGUAUUUUCGACUGUAAUUUUUUUUUUGUAUGGAGCAUGUCUUUACCUUACGUAUGUAAUAUCUCUGACUCUGUUAUGUAUUAUGAACUCCAGGGAUGCAUUUAUAUGUGUUAUACUUCUAAUAAUUAAUUAAGAUGAAUGAAGCAAAAGAAUAAUGAAGGUAAAUCUAUUCGUUAUUUCCUGGUGCAUUGGCAUUAACAUCUAGUUCUAUUCCUUGCACCUAGAUGAUGACAAAAAGGUGAUCUGAGUUUCAGGGUUCCAUUUCAUAUUACCCUUUUAUGGGUAUAGGCUUCUUCCAUUUUCCGAUUCUUAAUCUAGUGAAAAAGUAUUCAUUUUACUGCUCCGUUGAAAAGGGGAAUGAAAAUUUGCUUGUGCACCAUUCCUUUAUCGUAUUAAAUAAUGUGAGGAAUUGAUAUUUUUCUUGUCAUCUCUGAGGUAAUUUCACGAAUAUUGGCACCCUGGCAAAGAGCUACACGGUUUAUGCAAUUGACCUUCUUGGAUUUGGUGCUUCAGAUAAGCCAGCUGGUUAUUCAUAUACCAUGGAGGGAUGGGCUCAGGUAUGCAAUGUUCCCUAGCCAGAAGUUGGAUCUUUUGUCAUCAAUCGCUUGACCUUUAGUUAUUUUCCUUGCUAACUUGAGUGAGAUUCACUGAUACAGCUAAUAUUGGAUUUCUUGGAUGAAGUUGUUAAGAAGCCAACUGUGCUUAUAGGUAACUCUGUUGGAAGCCUAGCUUGUGUUAUUGCUGCCUCAGGUAUAUUUAUUUUAACUUCCCCUUGGACAUCAGAUAUUCUUCAACUUGCUUGCAAAGAAACACUUGCCCCUAAUUAUCCUUUUUGGUAUCUAUGGUUUACGAUAAACCUGCUAUAUUUUCUACCAUAAGAAUCCAGUCAAACCCUUGUUCGAGGGCUUGUUCUGUUGAAUUGUGCUGGUGGCAUGAACAACAAGGCAAUUGUUGAUGAUUGGAGAAUCAAGCUAUUGUUCCCAUUGCUUUGGUUCAUUGAUUUUUUGUUGAAGCAAAGGCCAAUUGCUUCUGCUAUAUUUGAGCGUGUGAAACAAAGGUAUUUUCUCUUCUCUCUAUUCAGUCCAUUGUUCAUUAUCCCAAGACACUAGAGUCAAAAUUAAAAAAAAAACUCUAUGAUGUGCAUAUCUUGGUGCUGUAGGGAAACACUGAGGAAUAUUUUACUGUCCAUUUAUGCAAAUAAGGAAUCUUUGGAUGAAACACUGGUUGAGGUAUUAAUAUUCUCCACUUAUAUGCCAUUUUAACCUGUUACAAAAAUGGCUUCUCAUAAUUCAUGAAUCGACCUCAAAACUGCAGAUCAUACGAGAGCCCGCCAAUGAGGAAGGGGCACUUGAUGCAUUUGUUUCGAUUGUAACAGGCCCACCAGGGCCGAACCCAGUUCAAUUGAUGCCAUCAAUCUCGAUAGUUUUAUGGGGUGAUGAGGAUCCAUUCACACCCCUCGAUGGACCUGUUGGUAAAUACUUCUCAUCUCUGCCUUCUAAACUCUCAAAUGUGAAGCUAAUUGUAUUGGAUGGAGUAGGACAUUGCCCCCAUGACGACAGCCCUGAGUUGGUCCAUGAAAAGCUGCUUCCUUGGUUGGCUGAAACAUUUAAUUUC